rnacentral:rRNA from 1 species
GAUGAACGCUGGCGGCGUGCCUAAUACAUGCAAGUCGAGCGAACAGACGAGGAGCUUGCUCCUCUGACGUUAGCGGCGGACGGGUGAGUAACACGUGGAUAACCUCCCUAUAAGACUGGGAUAACUUCGGGAAACCGGAGCUAAUACCGGAUAAUAUAUUGAACCGCAUGGUUCAAUAGUGAAAGACGGUUUUGCUGUCACUUAUAGAUGGAUCCGCGCCGCAUUAGCUAGUUGGUAAGGUAACGGCUUACCAAGGCAACGAUGCGUAGCCGACCUGAGAGGGUGAUCGGCCACACUGGAACUGAGACACGGUCCAGACUCCUACGGGAGGCAGCAGUAGGGAAUCUUCCGCAAUGGGCGAAAGCCUGACGGAGCAAUGCCGCGUGAGUGAUGAAGGUCUUCGGAUCGUAAAACUCUGUUAUUAGGGAAGAACAAAUGUGUAAGUAAAUAUGCACGUCUUGACGGUACCUAAUCAGAAAGCAACGGCUAACUACGUG